rnacentral:sRNA from 16 species
AGCUGUUCCCCUCUGGAGGUUUUGACCUUCAAACUUAUCAGGCCGCGGGAAAUAUCCAGCGGCCUUUUUUUUGCCGAUG